rnacentral:tRNA from 1 species
UCGGAUAUGGUGUAACGGCUAACAUUGCCGCCUCUCAUAAUAACGUGGCUGAAUGUUAUUCGCGGCAGCUCGGGGUUCGAUUCCCCGUAUCCGAA